GUUGACUAAUUUCAUAAUCAUUGUUUAUUUGAACAGCAGCUUGGUCAUUUCCUGUCAGUGUGUACUUCAUGACAUACUUAAUUGACCUUACUCAGGCAAUGAUUUCA